GACGAACGCUGGCGGCGUGCUUAACACAUGCAAGUCGAACGGAAAGGCCUGCUUUCCCUUGUGGAUUGCGGGUACUCGAGUGGCGAACGGGUGAGUAACACGUGACUGAUCUGCCCCCAACUUGGGUAUAAGCCUGGGAAACUGGGUCUAAUUCCCGAUAGGACUGCAGGGUGGUGCCUGUGGUGGAAAACGAUUUUCUAGUGGUUGGGGAUGAGCUCGCGGCCUAUCAGCUUGUUGGUGGGGUAAUGGCCUACCAAGGCGGCGACGGGUAGCCGGCCUGAGAGGGUGGACGGCCACAUUGGGACUGAGAUACGGCCCAGACUCCUACGGGAGGCAGCAGUGGGGAAUAUUGCACAAUGGGCGGAAGCCUGAUGCAGCGACGCCGCGUGGGGGAUGACGGCCUUCGGGUUGUAAACUCCUUUCGACCGCGAGGAAGCCACCUGGUUGGAAGGGUGGUGACGGUAGUGGUAGAAGAAGCACCGGCUAACUACGUG
rnacentral:rRNA from 1 species